AAACAGGAAGGCUGGACAAGGGAAGAGCAACACCCAAGUGUGAUUUUUACAUAGUUCUUGUAUUGUGUUACUUUUGUCCUUUGAGAUGCAGACUUUUAAAAAGACUUGGGGGGGUGGCAGGAGCGGGGGUGGGCGCCUGGCUGGCUCAGUCCAUGGAGUACGAGGCUCUUGAUCUUGGGAUCAUGAGUUCAAGCCCCACGUUGGGUAUAGAGAUUACUUUAAAAAAUAUCGUUAAAUAGAAUUAGGAAUGAAAGAAGUUUAUGAGAGACCUGACAAACACAAAAGGCGUGGGAAGCCAGAACUGGGCUGGGAGAGUUUUAGGCCAUGAUGCAGAUCCAGCGCGUAUGAAAGGAAAGGAGGGGGUGGCAGGUUUGGGCAGGGAGAGCCUCAGAUAGCUCUGCAGCUGUGGCGAGGCCCUGGCCAACUGAUUGAGCUCGAUUGGGCAGAAAUGGCCAAUCCCUAGUGUUCUUGCUGUGGUCAGUCACUGCUGGAGGCUGCCUGGGAAGAAGGCACCUUAGCUCAAAAGCCAGGUUGAAUCCUGGGACCCUGGUGGCACUAACAGCUGGAGGUGUCAGCUAACUGCAGUUCUUGUAGCUGAACGCCAAGUUCUUUCUUGAAUAGAGAUCCAGGUGGCACAUCUCAUGGCUGCCUUCCACAGGAACCUCAGUUGCUUGGGCAGGGAGGGUCUAUUUAAAGAGUAAAUGAGGUAAAAUUUCCAUCUUACAUCCCCAUCUUAGACCCUAGGCUUGAAAGGGCUGGAAUUAACCCCCAUGUCUUCUCUCUUCCAGUUGGAAGCACCUUGUUCUCUCCGGGGCACACUUUUUCUAGCCCUGGAAUUGGCCAUGGUAGCAGCAGGACUCCUCUUUUGUGGUGUCUGUGAUCCUUUGAGUUGGGUCACUGUGGCUUCAUUGUGGUAUUGUAUUACAGGAUGGGCAGGAGAAAUGGAUCAAGUAAAAGACAUGAACGUAUCCAUGAAUGAGGGCAGCUAGAAUGAGAACCUGUUGAUUACUCUUACUUCCUAGAAGUUCCCUAGAACUAGAAGUUCUAGAUGUUAGCAGUCUUUCAGUUUCCAACCAGGUUGUCAGACCUGCAUUGUAGACAGGGCUACUGGGUAUGGUUGUGUUGGUUGUGCACUUGUUCAAAGGCAUCUGGAUAUAAAGGGAUGAGAGGGCCCAGGUGGGGUUGUAUCAGUCCAGAGAUAGGGGUGCCAUUUUGCAGUUUUGCCUUUUUGUAUUCACACAAAGAUGCCUGAUAAUGCUAAAGAAGGUCUUAGUCAAAGGUGAGUUUAGUAGGCUUUCCCCGGUUUCACUACUAGCUGAUUUUUGCUUGCUGUUUACCUUAAAUUUGCAUGUAUGUACUUAUUUUUUAUUUUAUUUUAUUUUUUUAGUUUAUUUAAUUUUUUCAGUAAUCUCUACACCGAAUUUGGGGCUCAAACUCACAACCCUGAGAUCAAGAGUCGCAUGCUCUUCCGACUGAGCCAGCCAGGUGCCCCUGCAUUUAUGUAUUUAAAUAAAUGCAAAUGAUGUGAAAGGAAAGCAAAACUCCUACUUCUACCCGCUUAGGUCCUACUUUGUAUUAGUUACAGUGAAUGCUAACUGGUUAAAGACAAAUCCCCAAAUAGCCACUGAAGACUCUAAAAGUUGGUUUCUCGCUUACAUCACAGUCCGGUGUGAGUCGGGGGCAGUCUGGGCAGUUAGACGUUUGUUAGAGACUCAAGCCUGUGAAUGUUCAUCCUUAGCGCCUGGCUGCUGGGUUGCACUUGGAUGUGCCAGCAUUCAGGGGAAGAUUCAUGGAGGAUACCGCAGGAGAUUCUACGGGCCGGGCCUGGAAGUGACACACAUCAUUUCCACCCAGGCUCUACUGGCCAGUUUCAGUCACACGGCCCCACCUGGAUGCUGAGGGACUGGAAAACAUCUUUGUGGAUGCCAGGCAGAGGACAGACAGCAGCAAUAUUGUUUGAUACGGCUCCAGUCAGAUGAGACCAGCCUGUGUGGUCGUAUCCUAGAAGCAUCAUGAAGGCGCCGAGCAUUUUGAAGGUUUCUGCGUCUCCUCAUGAAGAUGUCGCACUCCCAUGACAAAGCAGUCCCCUGGGACCGUCCUUCUACCAGACCCGUCCCAUUGGCCUGGCCUCACCCCUGCUGCUCAGCGUCAGGAGAUGCCACUUCCCCAGUCGGCCGGCCCACUUCUGACUUGGCCUUCGAUGCCCUCUGGUGCCCGGCCUUCACGUGGACAUCGCAGGACGGUUUGUUCUCGAGCUGAGGGAGAACUCCCCGAGAACACUUACCUGCCCCCCUCAUCUCAUCUCCACAGCCCCCAACACUCCCCAGAGGCCCUAGCCAACAGCCCGGCUCUAAUGAAUUGAUGGCAGCCGCCCCUUGUAUUUCCUGGAAAUUUUUUAAUUCUCAGGAGAAGGUAGGCUUCAUAUUUUAAAAUCGAUGUGGUUGGCCACAUAUUUAAAACCGAGAUUUAAAAAAAAAAAAAAUCACUUACUGGUAUGAACUUCAGAAAAGCUUGUUUCACAGAAAGAGAUUUUCCACAUUCCACACCACUACAAAGAUAACCCAGAUAUCCUGGGCCAGCGACUCCCCUGGGGCCGGGCACGGGGAGCCACCCCCUGUCAGAGGCCCAACAGGCCACGGGCAGGAUCUCCCUGUGGCUUUUCACAAUUCCCACCUAUUUGUAGAUACCCUCUCUCCAGUGACCUGCCCCCUUCAUUGUUUUUAACCUCUGCUCCGUUACUUUGGAAAAAUUAGUCUUUUUUCCCUUCGCUUCUUCACGCUCCUCCCCUCUCCAGCUCCGUGUUCCAAAUUGAACCUAAUUAUGGAUAAGUGUUCAGAUUAGGGGUUAUGAUAAACCUGGAAAGGUAAAGUCAUACAUUUUGACCUGAAACUCUAUCCAAUGAAGAACCAGUGCCAACAGCCUCCCAAGCCCUUGAAAAAUCCCCUUUGUUUUAUCUGCCAGAGAAUUCAUUUUUCUUCCUCUAAUUGGUCCUGCUUUUCUCUCUACCAGCAGCCAAAUUAAAAAAAAAAAAAAUCUUGAAGGUUAAAUUAUCAGCAGUCUAACCUUCUGAUUUUUUCACAGAUAAACAAGGAGUCCAUUCAAAGUGGUCCUAGAACUAUUCUGAAAAUUAUCUGUUUAUAGUUGCGUUUUGGUCUCUUCCGCUCUGCCCUUCCUUCAAUCUGAGUACAUUCCAUUGCGCGCGUUACGUGCAGUUAGUUAUAGGCCGGACCAGAGACGUGAUGAGACAGUCUCUCUUUGCAGGUUACGUUUGUGUGUGGGUGUUGUUUGCUUGCGUGUGUUUGUGUGUCCACGUGCCCCUCACACCUUCCCUGACAUCCUAACUUUCUGUGGCAUUCUGCUUUUGUGCUUUAUGCCCUGGUGAGGGUUUUCAAAACCAGUAGUUGUAGGUGAUUAAGAAAGAAGAAGGAAUGAAAAUCAAGGAGACAACAGUAAUUGGAGCGGUGGUUACAUUUUCGUGGAAGCUGCACGUUAGAAUGUCCUCUCGUUUGUCCUAAAUUCUCGUAUCCGGAGCCUUAUGGUAACCACUUUAGAUACAAGAUAGUCCUUGAGGCAUUAUGGACAAUCCUGCUUUUCCUUUACUGUCACAGUACCGGUUCUGUUACCAGCCUGGACUCCGGGGGUGGGGUGGGGAUGGUGCUGGGGACCUCUUGACGGCUUUGGUCCGUCCAUGUCCGCAUGCUGGACUCCCCUCACUCAUCCUCAGUCCCCGUGUGCCUGGAAACCAGUAACCAAAGCAGCCAGAACCGUGUCUAAACCAGAAGGGCUUCUCCUGAUCAACAAAAAGGUGUGAAGUUUGGGCACAGACAGUUUUAGCUUCUCCGGAGACCUCUUUCUGUUCCGCUGGUUGAGGACAGCAUCUCAGGGGGCCGAGUAUCUCCGGCUGUACAGUGCCGUCCUAGUGAGAUAAAGUAUUUUCGCACACGCGGGCGUGGGCACACGCCGUCCCCUCGCCUCAGCCCUCCCCUGAGAUGCACGGGCCUCCCGGGAACCACCCCGCGCCCCUUCUCCUUGCCCUGUGCCCGGAUGCUCCUCUCACAGAACUGGUCCACGGACUCCUCUGCAGGUCGACCAGAAGUCCCCCUUGUCCAGGCUAAGUCCCAGUUAACACCGGUUGCGGGUCAGUGCACGCCUAUUAUUUUCAUUUUCAACAAUGCCAUUUGCAAGAUAAAUGUUACCUCCAUCCUACUUUUCAUCCCUUCAGGCUUCUUCAGCCCUGAUGUCACCUCCUCAGGUAGACCCUUCCGCACCUGGUAGGCUUCCUUUCUCCGAAGCUGGACAGGAUCCUCUGUUUGCCCUGCUUGCUGACUGGCCCCCAGGGCUUGGUCAGGCUGAGCCAGGGGUUUGUGAGCAGCAGAUACAUUUAGGCUUCUUCCAGCCUCGGGACCCAUGCAGGGCCAGGCUGGGAGGAAGUGAGAGAGGAGGCACUAGGUGCAGGAGAAGGUGAGGUGCAGGGGAGGGAUGUGCAAGGGGAAGGGAAGGUGAAGCGGAGGAAUGCAGGGGAGAGUGAGGUCCAGGGGGGAGCAAGGAAGGACAGAACGUGGGCGCGUGCUGCGGGCCAGGAUUUAUGGGAAGCUUCACUAAUGUGAUUGUGCCCCCUCGAGAAAUUUUAAUGUCCUCUACCACUCAAGGCUGUAAGAGUCGAUGUGAGGGUUUCAGAUUUGAGGCCGUGUGCGGUCAGCUUGAAGGGACUGAUAGCGCAAGAGACGUCUGAUGAGGCUUGAUUAUAAGUGGAUUACGUGAAAUAAACAAACUCCAUUUUUUUCUAGGUGAUUGUUUUUCUGGGAGUAUUAGACAAAACAGGGGAUUCAGAGGCACACGUUCAGGCUCAUCUCUUCUUUUUUGACCUUGAUGGGUUUUCAUGUGCGUAAAGGGCUUGAGCUCCAUCUACGAUGUCCCUUCCACCUUUUAGAACUGUAUGAUUUCGUCAUACAUGGCGGCCAGACUAGAAAGCAUUUUGAAGUUCUACAGAGUACUAUUUUUUUUUUUUUCCAAUUGCAGGCCAGAAAGGAAAACUUCCAAAUAAGGAUGCGUAAGAUACUCAGACAAAGGGAAACAAUAACUAAAAUACAAGUCUAGCCUUUGCCCUGGCAUGAAAAGAAUGCAGACUGGUAACUGACCUAAAGGUUUCUGUUUCAUUUCAUAUUUAGGUGAAAUGGUCAGCUUUGACCAUUAUUCCCCCAAAAAUGUCUCUUCAGACUUUUAAAAUAUUUGUGUAAUAUUGAGGCGAUUGUAUUAUCCUUGACAACACUGAGGUCGCUUUUACCUGUAAAAAAUGCCGUGCCUAAUUGUGUAUGUACCAGGAGCAGUGCUUGAAAAGCUAAACUUAGCAAAAUUAAUCCGGGCUCACAAAUGAUCACGGUAGACCUUCAAUAAACACCCCUACCUAAUACCAUGACAAACAUUGUGAGGUCGCCUCCCGGUAGCUUAGCCAUCUAACGUGGAGGAAUGUUUCAGCAAGGGGAGUAAUUUGAUUUCAUCAAAUAGUAAGCACACGGGCCAUUCAGACUGUAAUUGUCAGGGUUAUACCCAAGGAUGAGAAACGUCUGACCAGUGAGUGAACAGAGCUGAGUGCUAAGUGACACUGAGUAUGUCUUUGUAAAAUGGACAGUCCAGGGGACACACAUUGGCCAACCUCAUUGGUCUUCUGCAGCGUCUCGAAAUUUUUUGAGUAAGAAUAUUUUCAUGGGGCCUUUGAGUAAGAAUAUUUUUCAGGGGGUCUGCCUUUCACAGACAUUUACUUACCUCUCUGGCUCCCCAGGCAGUUGAAUUGUUGACCUUUGACCUUUGAUUAAAAAAAAAAUAACAUCUAAUUACUAAAACAGUAAAAACUAAAUAGUCUUGGUUGCUUACUGGGAAAUCCACCUUGAGACCGAGAUUUGCGUGUAGAAAGUUUGUGGAGGGCACCCGUGGAAAUAAUAUCUAGGGUUGGGGGGUGAAGGAAACAGGUUCUGGCAGAGAGAGAAGGUGAAAUGUGAUAGGACCAUCACCCGUUGUCUCAGUCCCCAGGGCCUGGAGCUAGGAUGGUCCUCCAGGGUCAUCCCAAAUUGAGACCACGUGGUCAGACCUUUGUGCCUUCUUCCCAUCAGCCAUGGGAAGGCUUCAGGGGAGAAUCUGUUUCCUUGCUUUUUCUAGCAGUCUUUCAUUUCCUUUAUGAAUUCUGCCCCAACGGGGACAUUGUGAUAGCCUGAAAGCCAAAAAAAACCCCAAAAAACAAAAAAACAAAAACAUUCACUCACUAGUUUCUUCCUUAAAAAGUUCACUCUCAGGGAGUUGGCUCCACCGCUGACCACAGGUUCUGCCUGCACACGGAUAGGCCUGACUCACUCCCGUCCACUCCUUCUUGCCGCCCUCGCCCUCGUCAGGGCCUGUUUCCCCGUGACAUCUAGCCAGCGCCCCGCGAGCACCUGCUUCUUUGUGCCUGUGGCUAGCGAGGAGGCCAGGUCACUGCUUGCCCUGCAGAGUGGAGGGUGAGAGAGGCCUCAUGGUAGAAUUAAAAAAAUAUACAUCUGCUCCCUGGUUCCAGGCACAGAGCUCCUAAAACCCUUGGAAUUUUUGAGAGGAGCAUCUUUUGUUAUUCAUAAUAAGCCCCUUUCAACCGCACUCCAGUUUAUGCUAAUUGUGGUGACUCUUGGAGGAUGGGGCUGGUUGCCCGAGGAACCAACCACGUGAUGAGAGGGCUGGAACCUUCAGCCCCACCCCCCACCACUGGGGAGGGAAAAGGGGUUUGGAGAUUGAGUUUAACCACCAGUGGCGAGUGAACCGAUCAGUCGUGCCUACCUAAUGGCGCCGCAGUAAAAAUUCUAAACAGUGAGUUUUGGAGAGCUUCCAGGCUGCUGAGCACGCCAAGGUUAUGGGAAGGUAGCACACCCGAAGAGGGCGGGCAAGCCCCAUGCUCACCCCACGCCUUGCCCUCUGCAUCUUGCAUCUGGCCGUUCCUGAGUUGUGUCCUUUGCAAUAAACUGGUGAUCUAAUCUUCCUGAGUGUGGAUGGGAGACUUUCUAAAGGCGUGUUUACCACACCGGCCUUGUGGAAGGAGCUUUCUCUGGGCCUCAGCAGGACAGAGAGAGAGACAGAGCAUGAACGGGCAAGGGGCAGAGAGAGAGGGAGACACAGAAUCGGAAA